CAGGCCUAACACAUGCAAGUCGAACGGCAGCACGGACUUCGGUCUGGUGGCGAGUGGCGAACGGGUGAGUAAUGCAUCGGAACGUGCCCAAUCGUGGGGGAUAACGUAGCGAAAGUUACGCUAAUACCGCAUACGAUCUAAGGAUGAAAGCGGGGGAUCGCAAGACCUCGCGCGAAUGGAGCGGCCGAUGUUAGAUUAGGUAGUUGGUGGGGUAAAGGCUCACCAAGCCGACGAUCUAUAGCUGGUCUGAGAGGAUGAUCAGCCACACUGGGACUGAGACACGGCCCAGACUCCUACGGGAGGCAGCAGUGGGGAAUUUUGGACAAUGGGCGCAAGCCUGAUCCAGCCAUUCCGCGUGCAGGAUGAAGGCCCUCGGGUUGUAAACUGCUUUUGUACAGAACGAAAAGCUCUGGGUUAAUACCCUGGGGUCAUGACGGUACUGUAAGAAUAGCACCGGCUACU
rnacentral:rRNA from 1 species